GUCCUCUGUAGCUCAGUUGGUUAGAGCACUGCACCGGAAUCGCAGGGCCGCAGGUUCAAUUCCUGUCAGGGACC
rnacentral:tRNA from 1 species